CACGUAGGCACCAAGCGUUGUCCGGAUUUAUUGGGCGUAAAGAGCGUGUAGGCGGCCCGGUAAGUCCGCUGUGAAAGUCGGGGGCUCAACCCUCGAAUGCCGGUGGAUACUGUCGGGCUAGAGUGCGGAAGAGGCGAGUGGAAUUCCUGGUGUAGCGGUGAAAUGCGCAGAUAUCAGGAGGAACACCGAUUGCGAAGGCAGCUCGCUGGGACGUAACUGACGCUGAGGAGCGAAAGCUAGGGGAGCAAACGGG
rnacentral:rRNA from 1 species